rnacentral:rRNA from 1 species
CCUACGGGUGGCAGCAGUGAGGAAUAUUGGUCAAUGGGCGGAAGCCUGAACCAGCCAAGUAGCGUGCAGGAUGACGGCCCUACGGGUUGUAAACUGCUUUUAUACGGGAAUAACGCGCCUUACGUGUAGGGCUUUGCAUGUACCGUAUGAAUAAGGACCGGCUAAUUCCGUGCCAGCAGCCGCGGAAAUACGGAAGGUCCGGGCGUUAUCCGGAUUUAGUGGGUGUAAAGGGAGCGUAGGCCUCAUGUCAAGCGUGCUGUGAAAUAUCCGGGCUCAACCCGGGCCUUGCAGCGCGAACUGGCGUGCUGGAGUGCGCGGAAAGCAGGCGGAAUUCGUGGUGUAGCGGUGAAAUGCUUAGAUAUGACGAAGAACCCCGAUUGCGAAGGCAGCUUGCUGCAGCGGAACUGACGCUGAUGCUCGAAAGCGCGGGUAUCGAACAGGAUUAGAUACCCGAGUAGUC